rnacentral:rRNA from 1 species
AAUCAACGCUGGCGGCGUGCCUCAGACAUGCAAGUCGAACGAUUAAGACUUCCUUCGGGAAGUGUAUAAAGUGGCGCACGGGUGAGUAACACGUAAGUAAUCUGCCUUCGAGUGGGGAAUACCUUCGGGAAACCGAAGAUAAUACCGCAUAAUGCAGCGGCACCGCAAGGUGACAGUUGUUAAAGGAGCAAUCCGCUUGAAGAGGAGCUUGCGGCAGAUUAGCUAGNGGUAAGGUAAUGGCUUACCAAGGCUACGAUCUGUAUCCGGUCUAAGAGGACGGUCGGACACACUGACACUGAAUAACGGGUCAGACUCCUACGGGAGGCAGCAGUCGGGAAUUUUGGGCAAUGGGCGAAAGCCUGACCCAGCAACGCCGCGUGAAGGAUGAAGUAUUUCGGUAUGUAAACUUCGAAAGAAUGGGAAGAAUAAAUGACGGUACCAUUUAUAAGGUCCGGCUAACUACGUGCCAGCCGCCGCGGUAAU